rnacentral:rRNA from 1 species
CAGCAGUCGCCGCGGGAAUACAGAGGGUGCGAGCGUUAAUCGGAUUUACUGGGCGUAAAGCGUGCGUAGGCGGCUUCUUAAGUCGGAUGUGAAAUCCCUGAGCUUAACUUAGGAAUUGCAUUCGAUACUGGGAAGCUAGAGUAUGGGAGAGGAUGGUAGAAUUCCAGGUGUAGCGGUGAAAUGCGUAGAGAUCUGGAGGAAUACCGAUGGCGAAGGCAGCCAUCUGGCCUAAUACUGACGCUGAGGUACGAAAGCAUGGGGAGCAAACAGGAUUAGAUACCCCAGUAGUCCCUGUCUCUUAUAA